UGGGGAGAGAAGAUGCGUCAAGCCAACAAGAUUCAAGACGGCGUGCUCAAACCGGUCGGUUUAGGUUUCCUCCGGUUCGAGUUCUUCAACGAUGGGUUAGCCGACGAUGACGAAAAAAGAACCAACUUCCAAGCCUUCCGACCACACCUUGAACUUGUCGGAAAACGGGAGAUCAAGAACCUCAUCAGGAGAUACGAGCAAGAGGAAAAGCAACCUGUGAGGUGUCUUAUAAACAACGCUUUUGUGCCGUGGGUGUGUGACGUGGCUGAUGAGCUUCAUAUCCCUUCGGCUGUUCUAUGGGUCCAGUCUUGCGCUUGUCUCACCGCUUAUUAUUAUUACCACCACCGGCUAGUUAAGUUCCCGACCAAAACUGAGCCGGAGAUUAACGUUGAAAUCCCAAGCUUACCUUUGUUGAAGCAUGGCGAGAUCCCAAGCUUCCUUCACCCUUCAUCUCCCUUUGCAGCUUAUGGAGAAGUCAUUUUAGACCAGCUCAAGCGACUUGUAAGCCACAAGCCUCUCUUUGUUUUCAUAGACACUUUUCAAGAACUCGAAAAAGAGAUCGUCGACCACAUGUCUAACCUCUGUCCUCAAGUCAAGUUUAGCCCUCUCGGUCCUCUCUUCAAGAUGGCUCAAACUAUAAGCUCUGACGUUAAGGGAGACAUCUCCGCGCCAGCGAGUGACUGCAUGGAGUGGCUCGACUCGAGAGAACCAUCCUCAGUCGUUUAUAUCUCCUUUGGCACUAUAGUCCACUUGAAGCAAGAGCAGUUCGAGGAGAUCGCUCAUGGUGUUUUGAGCUCUGGUUUGUCCUUCUUAUGGGUGGUCCGGCCUCCUAUGGAAGGUUCAAGUGUGAAACCAUAUGUAUUGCCUCGUGAGCUUGAAGAGAAAGGGAAAAUCGUUGAAUGGUGUUCACAAGAGAGAGUGUUGGCUCAUCCUGCGGUUGCUUGCUUCUUAAGUCACUGCGGAUGGAACUCGACAAUGGAGGCUUUGUCUUCGGGAGUUCCCAUGGUCUGUUUUCCGAUGUGGGGAGAUCAGGUGACUGAUGCUGUGUACUUGGUUGAUGUUUUCAAGACAGGAGUGAGACUUGGCCGCGGAGCGGCUGAGGAGAAGAUUGUUCCGAGGGAGGUUGUGUCGGAGAAGUUGCUUGAGGCCACCGUUGGGAAAAAGGCGGUGGAGAUUAGAGAAAGCGCACGGAGGUGGAAGGAAGAAGCGGAGGCAGCCGUGGCGUUCGGUGGAUCAUCGGAUAGGAAGUUUCAAGAGUUUGUGGACGAGUUGAUUACGAAAUCUGUUGCGAGAAAAGACAACGGAGAAUACUCAUGAUGAUGUCACGUAAUAGUCCAAAUUGUUGAUGUAACUCCGAAACCUAGACACCACUACGGUAUGUCAGUAUUCAUAUUAUCUUUUUUCUUUUUCCUUUUGGGUAAAUAACACAUCAAAUCCCAUCUCAUGCUCUAGUGAUGUCGAUCUAUCAAUUUUUACAUUCUAUUUCAUCACUUCGAGCCACAAGCACUUAGAUUUUUAAAACCAUUUUGAUGCAUUAAACUAAUGUCGCCAUAUGGCUUUAAGGUCAUUUAGUAUUGGGCAAUUAUCAAUAAUAGUACAUUUUGAGUUUUUGUCUCAAAAUAGCAUUAGAAGGAGAAAGUCACAAAAAUGACAUUCAUUUAAAGAGUAAAAUAUCUCUAAUACCAUUAGUUUAGAAUUAAAUAAACAAAAAAAAAUAAAAUAAAAAAUAAAAUAAAAAAAAUGGAAAAAAAUAAAACUUUUUUGUAUAGUUUCAGAUUAUAUGUUUUCAGAUUCGAAAUUUUUUAUAAUUUUUUUUGAAAUUAUUUUUUUCGAAUUUUAUUUUUAUUUUUUUUUCAAAUUUUCUUUUUAUAAUUCAAAAAUAAUUUUUGAAACUGUUUUUAAAAUUUAUAUUUUUAAUUUUUUAGUAUUUAUUUUUUAUUUUAUAAAAUUUUAAACCCUAAUUCCAAAACCCACUCCUUAACUCUAAACCCUAAGGUUUGGAUUAAUUAACCCAAAGGGUAUAAGUGUAUAUUUAUUUACCUCUUUAAUGAAAUAUAUUUUUGUGACUUUGAGCUUUGAUUGCUAGUUUAGGAACAAAAACUUGGUUUGAUGCUAUCCUAGUAUUUUUCUCUAUAAAAUAACUUCUUAUUCAUUAAUCUUUGUUUUUUUACUAAUCAAAAAUUAUGUCAUAAAAAAACUUUUGGAAACUUAUAAUAAAAUUUAUAGAAUCAACACAAUCUCAAUAAUCUUCUAAGAUUAUACAAUAUCAAGACUUUGAUAUUCAAACUAUUUAAAAUAAAAAGAUUAUUGCCAGCUUGUCUCAGACGGAGACGUAUGCAAAGCUUCUAUUUAAUCCGAAAAUUGAGAUAGAUGGAGAGACGAACAUAAGAAUAUAUAUAGCAGAAAAGAUUAGAUAGGAAUUAUCGAAAUUGAAGGUUUUAAAGAACAAGGAUAGGUUUCAACUUGUCUGACAAUAAACUUUACGUGUAACUAUAGUUAAUCCGAAAAUUGAAAAAAGAAAACAAAAAAGACCGAUAAAUUACUAUAGGGUUAAAAUCGUCCAAUAAAUAUCGAUAAUAACGGAGAAGUAAGUCGAUGGGUAUUGAGCUAAAUAGGGUAAAGUGCUAAUGUGUGGAGUGCAAUUUCUCAAAAUAAAAUCAGUUUCUACUUUCUAGUUUCCAUAAGGAAAAUAAAAAUCGAUGGAACCGUCUCUUGAGCAUGUGAUGCUCGUAUCUUUCCCAGGCCAAGGGCACAUAAACCCUCUACUUCGUCUCGGAAAGCUCAUAGCUUCGAAAGGCCUACUGGUCACCUUUGUCACCACAGAGCAGCCAUGGGGAGAGAAGAUGCGUCAAGCCAACAAGAUUCAAGACGGCGUGCUCAAACCGGUCGGUUUAGGUUUCCUCCGGUUCGAGUUCUUCAACGAUGGGUUAGCCGACGAUGACGAAAAAAGAACCAACUUCCAAGCCUUCCGACCACACCUUGAACUUGUCGGAAAACGGGAGAUCAAGAACCUCAUCAGGAGAUACGAGCAAGAGGAAAAGCAACCUGUGAGGUGUCUUAUAAACAACGCUUUUGUGCCGUGGGUGUGUGACGUGGCUGAUGAGCUUCAUAUCCCUUCGGCUGUUCUAUGGGUCCAGUCUUGCGCUUGUCUCACCGCUUAUUAUUAUUACCACCACCGGCUAGUUAAGUUCCCG
rnacentral:lncRNA from 1 species